GACGAAGCAGAGGCUGGAAGCAGCUCACAAGGAUGAUCUCCGGUGGCCUCUCCUCCCUUCUCUAGUGGUCCGCGACGAUCUCCAGCGUGCAAAAAAACUCCUCCGUCGAUGAACAACAGCUACGACUUUCCUCCAGCGAUGAAACCAGCAGCAAGACGGUGGUUUUUGUCUCCAACAGUGAAACAGAGCAGCUGGCAGCGGCAGUCUCCAACCCCGCCGUUCUCCUCACCGGUCUUCACCCUCCUCCGCGACGUGGUGGCUGCCUAGUGUUGCGACAUUGUGAACCUGCGGUGGAAGAAGGCGGGGGUCCCCCUUCCGUUCGACGUAAACAUAGCAGGGCCCUCUGAGAUUCGCGACGGAGCUCGGUGUGACGGUUCACCGGCGACGGCUUCUCCCAGCAACCGUGACCUUCCGUUCCAGGCCUCAUCUCCACCUCUCGAGUCCCUAUCGUUCGACGCCAAUGGGAAGCAGUAGCUGAUCGACGUGGAACGGUGGUGACGGCAAUGGUAGUUCUCGGUGCGUAGUAGUGAUCCUCUUCCCCUGGUUCCGGCGAGCAUAGCAUCGGUAGAGUGGGACUUGCGUCCUCUUCCUCCAAGCAGCGAGCAUCAUUGACGUCGAAGGAGCAGCAACGACAUAUCUCCUCCCUCUUUUUCUUUUGGUGGUCGGGAGUUCACAUGAAGGGUGGUAAUACGGUGGUCGCAUAGCUUAACAGAAGAGAUGCAGUGGUUUAGUGGUAUGGCGCUUUGGUAUUAAGUUAGAGGGCAGGGGUUUAAAUCCUUCAGCAUAUUGGUUUUAAGGUUCAUGAUUAUGGACCUAGCUUAUGAGCUGAAGCUUAGAGUUGGUGUUGCUUUGGAUUAGUACGCUUCAAGAGGUAUGCAAUAAGUCUAAGCGUGAGCGCGAUAGAGAUAUAUCUGUAUGAGGCAACUUAGACUAGUUUAUAACGUUUUAGACUUAUGUUUUGGGCCUGUGUGCCAAUAUGAGAUUCUAUAU